rnacentral:rRNA from 1 species
UACGAAGGGGGCUAGCGUUGCUCGGAAUCACUGGGCGUAAAGCGCACGUAGGCGGACUCUUAAGUCGGUGGUGAAAUCCUGGAGCUCAACUCCAGAACUGCCUUCGAUACUGGGAGUCUCGAGUCCGGGAGAGGUGAGUGGAACUGCGAGUGUAGAGGUGAAAUUCGUAGAUAUUCGCAAGAACACCAGUGGCGAAGGCGCUCACUGGACCGGAACUGACGCUGAGGCGCGAAAGCCAGGGGGAGCGAAACGGGG